UUACUGAGGGAAUCCUAGUUAGUUUCUUUUCCUCCGCUUAAUAAUAUGCUUAAAUUCGGCGGGUAGUCUUAUCUCAUCUGAGAUCUUGUGUAUGGUUUUCUGGCGCCAUGACGGAUUAUCGUUCCAAGAA
rnacentral:rRNA from 1 species